rnacentral:rRNA from 1 species
CCGACGGUGAGGGAUGAAAGCUGGGGGAGCAAACCGGAUUAGAUACCCGGGUAGUCCCAGCUGUAAACUAUGCAAACUCAGUGAUGCAUUGGCUUGUGGCCAAUGCAGUGCUGCAGGGAAGCCGUUAAGUUUGCCGCCUGGGAAGUACGUACGCAAGUAUGAAACUUAAAGGAAUUGGCGGGGGAGCACCACAAGGGGUGAAGCCUGCGGUUCAAUUGGAGUCAACGCCAGAAAUCUUACCCGGAGAGACAGCAGAAUGAAGGUCAAGCUGAAGACUUUACCAGACAAGCUGAGAGGUGGUGCAUGGCCGUCGCCAGCUCGUGCCGUGAGAUGUCCUGUUAAGUCAGGUAACGAGCGAGAUCCCUGCCUCUAGUUGCCACCAUUACUCUCAGGAGUAGUGGGGCGAAUUAGCGGGACCGCCGCAGUUAAUGCGGAGGAAGGAAGGGGCCACGGCAGGUCAGUAUGCCCCGAAACUCUGGGGCCACACGCGGGCUGCAAUGGUAACGACAAUUGGUUUCGAAUCCGAAAGGAUGAGGUAAUCCUCAAACGUUACCACAGUUAUGACUGAGGGCUGCAACUCGCCCUCACGAAUAUGGAAUCCCUAGUAACUGCGUGUCAUUAUCGCGCGGUGAAUACGUCCCUGCUCCUUGCACACACCGCCCGU